rnacentral:rRNA from 1 species
AUGUGCAACGCUGGCCUCGAGUUCCCCAUCACCCGCAUCGGGCGCUACCUCAAGAAUGGCCAUUACACGCAGCGCGUCGACUCUGGCGCCCCCGUCUACCUCGCGACCGUCCUCGAGUACCUCACCACCGAGCUGCUGGAGCUCACCGGCAAUGCACGCGCUCAUAAAAGCACCAGCUCCUCGGGGAUAGUACUCCCAGUAACCCCAAGUACAUUAUGGCGUCACGCAUGGGGGCACUCAAGGUUGUCAAUCUCCGUGAUGAUGACGGACAACCUCUUCUUCCCGGACACCACCGAUCUGCUGGAGCUCGCCGGCAACGCACACGCUGCCGUGCCGUGCCGGCACGCGUGUGUGCAAGGGAGCGUGAUGUGCAACGCUGGCCUCGAGUUCCCAAUCGCCCGCAUCGGGCGCUACCUCAAGAAGGGCCACUACGCGCAGCGCGUCGGCUCCGGCGCCCCCAUCUACCUCGCGACCAUCCUCGAGUACCUCACCACCAAGCUGCUUGAGCUCACCGGCAACGCACGCGCUCAUAAAAGCACCAGCUAUGGCGUCACACAUGGGGGGCACUCAAGGUUGUCGAUCUCCGUGAUGAUGACGGACAACCUCUUCUUCCCGGACACCACCGAUCUGCUGGAGCUCGCCGGCAACGCACACGCUGGUGUGGCCCUGGGUGGCGCACGUCCAUCGGCGACCCCACCAACAUAUGUAUUUCAUAAAAACAUAUUCUCCGAUCUGCUGGAGCUCGCCGGCAACGCACACGCUGGUGUGGCCCUGGCUGGCGCUCUUCCAUCGGCGACCCCACCAACAUAUAGCAACCCUAGCCUCACCAAACCCUGUCCAAAACCUGGCAACUCGCCUUGGCCCACCAGCCAUAGACACACACUCACCUCCCAAACCCCGUCUUCCUCACCAGACGCGUGUUCGCAGUCGCCUCAAGCACUUAUGGAAGUUCUGGCCGCCGCCGCCGGCUCCUACUCGAGCAGUCAAAUCGCAUUUGCUGCUAAGGCUGCCCGAAACCCUAUGCACGCGUAUACAUCCUACCUAUAUCUUCAAUGGUUCAGACUCGGAAUCAAAGCAAGGCUGCCCGGAGAGAGAAACCAGAUCCAAGCGACGCCCGGCGAAGGCUGGCCGGAGGGAUUGGGUAGGCGCUGCGACCAGCGAAGGCCAGGAGAUUCAAACGACCCCGGCCAGAUACCGGUGGACCGAGCGCUGGUCGCCGCCUCGCCUGACUGCUCGGCUGCUGCCUCUCGGACGAGGGGCACAACUCCACUUGUUUACAAGCCGCCGCUGCCGCCGCCCUCGGCGGCAAAUUUAAAUGUCCUUGACACAGCUGAUUUUUUGCAGAUUCAGCCAAGUAGUGUGAGCUCAUCCAGUUCUUUCACUCAGUUGAAGAUGCCCUUGAAGAAGAGAGUUCGAACAGAUGGGAAUCAUGAGCCACAUUUGGAAGAUUCAGGAAGUCUUGGUGUUCUGUACCCGUCGGGUACUGACGUGGUGUUGCAAAAGGCAUAUGCCACGGGGUGGCUAAGAUCGGUGUUGGUGCAGCGCUCUGCAGAUUCGGCACCCGCAGGGAUUGCGCCGGAGCGCAGACACGUGAAGUACCCAGGUUUAGGGCCCUCCCGGAGGAGCCGAGGUGGCCGGCGGCGCCAAGCUCUGGGAAGGUGUGAAGAUGAGGAGGGAGGGAGGGGGUGCAGCGAGACCCGUGCACAGAAGAGUGAGGGGAAGCAGCGGUUUCUACUGGCAUAUUCUAGAUGUUGCUUGCUGCACGUAGUGCAGCCAUUCUCAAGCACGGCCAGGUCCCGCCGCGUGGCACAAGGGCCCGUCCCGCCGUCCCAUCCUUGUUGCACCACCUUCCUUCCCCUCCAAGGCUUGAAGUGGUACUACUACAGUAGUACUACUGCUCUGCUCGCGCCCAUGUUUCCAAACUCUUCCAUCACCGUCCAAAACAGCUUCGGCAGGGAGUGGAGAGCAUGCCCCGCCGCCAUCUCCCUUUGGGUCCUCCGCGUCACGCGAGCGAAGGACCUAAACCCUAAACCCUAA